rnacentral:misc_RNA from 1 species
UUAAAAUCCUCUCUUGAGCCAACAGUUGCAGCCUCUUCAUUAUUUAUUCUCCAGGCUGACCACAAGGACCAGUGAGGACUAAUUUGAGUUUUCACCUCCUUCUGUUUCUCUUGCAAGUCCUGGUGGAGUGGCUGAGUCUGUGAUGAUGAGUGGCACCACUACGCUCUGAACCUCGAGUUCCCCACAGUCACACUCUAUACCGACGGCAUCUCCUUCGACCCUGCCCUCAUCCAUGACAAUGGCCUCAUCCACCCACCCCGAAGGGAGCCUGCUCUCAUGAUUGGGGCCUGCUGGACUGAGGAGAAGAACAAAGAGAAGGAAAAGGGAGACAACAGUACAGACACCACCCAAGGAGACCCUUUGUCGAUCCACCACUACUUCCAUGGCUACCUGGCUGGUUUCAGCGUGCGCUCAGGUCGCCUGGAGAGCCGCGAGGUCAUCGAGUGCCUCUAUGCAUGUCGGGAGGGGCUGGACUAUAGGGAUUUCGAGAGCCUGGGCAAAGGCAUGAAGGUCCACGUGAACCCCUCACAGUCCCUGCUCACCCUG